UUCCAGUUUCCAUAUUCUAUCUCGUUGGAGGGAGAUUUUAGGGUUAGUCUUCUCCUGCACAGUGAAAGUAAUUUACACCGAUGCAUCCAUGCAUCUAUGAACGGGAAUAUAGAAAGGCUUUUUGGGUAGUGGGUGGCACUGGCAUGUGAUCUUGAAAGACGAAAGAAUCUUUGUAAAUCUCACCAUGACGCUUCCCCAAAACUUUUCAGCAAGGAAACAGUUGUUGCCGUCCCCUCAAUCACACCCACCCAUCCUCACCCACCAUUAAUAUUUUCUUUCCUUUCAUUGGACCUAUAAAUUUUCUUCUUUCCUUAUCGUUAACCUAGACCUAAACGUCGCUUUUGCUUUUGCGCUCCCAGGCCGCCGUUACAGCUGGUUCAUGGGUUUUCUUUUCAAGGGUUUGUCUUUUGGUUAAAGAUGGGAAGGCUUCAUGGGUUUCUGUUUUUUAACUUAUUAAAGUUGACCCAUCUACGGGGAUUCUUGAAUUUACGCUCGUUUUGUGCGGUGAAGUCCAAAAUGGCGCCCGGAUCUAGCAUAUUUAUGGAAGUGGUUUUAGGGUUUCUUUGCAGUGGGUUGCUAGGGUUAUGGGUCGUCGCUGUCUUCGGUAGUCCUCAAAGGAAUCGGGUUUGUCUGGGGUUUACCCCAUCGAACGUUGUUUUCUUCGAUUUACCUAAGUGUUGUGUCUUCCAAGUCCAGAAGGGCCUCCAGAUCUAGUGACGUUGGUGCACAAUCUUGCAUCAUUACGUGGCGUCGUCUGUGGUGAGUUUGUCUUCCACCCGGAAUGCAGAGCGCCCUUUGGAGUGUUAAAAGGGUUUGAAUUCCACAGUCGCCUGAAAGAGGUCUCUUUUUGAGGACCCUGGUGGGGUGAGUGUAUUUUGUACGUGUGCGAUGUAGUCAAAAUAUUUAAAUUAGGGUUCCGGGGAGUCGAUUUCCUGAAUUCUGUCGGUCGUACUGCGCCAUUAGGGUUACGUAAGGUCUGGAAGAAGGAAUACGGUCAUGGCGUAUGGGAGAUCAGGUUAGGAGCCGUACAAGACACUUUGGGUGAGGGUGAAGCUCUACCCCACAAUCGACGGGCUGAGCCUGUGCUUCGAACUAUCCGUCGGCCUUACUGUGCAUUUUAGGCUUGGAAAAAAGAAGGGUGAAAUUUGUGGCCCGCGAGGAGACAGGUGAAGACAACCACCUGUCUCGUGACAAGCGAUACCGGAGAUGUGUGCGCCUGCAGGACUUUAAAGUGUAGAAGAUUGCGAUGGGGACGACAUAUUGAGUUGGAGGCAUCGAGAUUCCCAGAGCUCUUACAAGAUGGAGUAGGCAGGGGGGCAUUGCGGAAUUAGGUAGAGCAAGUUUGUCAUUGGUGUGACUUUCCAGUGCUAAGGGCAGGCUGUUUGCCAUGAGCAUUUAUCAAGUCCUAGAGGGUUUAUCGAUAUAUAUAGUCAUGUAUCCAGUUAUGUGUCUAUUCAAGUGGCUUGUUUUGUAUGAGUUAUGUGCUUCACGCGUCAGGGAGAAGGCUGACCCUGAUUGGCCAGCUUUGUGAUAAGUGAUAUAAAAGUUAGUUUCUCAA